rnacentral:lncRNA from 1 species
UCAAGAAUUAAAAAAACUCUCAUCCAAACGCAGCGUUAUAGUUAUGUUUUGUCUGUUGGGUUGGAGAUGGCUAAAAUACAAUAUUAAGGGGAGAUAUAUGCCAUAGAUGAUAAAUAUCACUGUAAUACCCCAGUUUUUCAUAUCAAUUUUCUUGUAUUAUUUCCGAAAUUAAUGAAGGAUUAUUUUGUGGAAAUACUUAUUCGUGUGUGUAAAGUUAAAGUUUCGGGAGUUAAAUUUUUUAAGGUGCUUUGAUUUUUAAGUGGCCAAAAGUUGACUUUUUUAUCCGUAAGUUAUUUUCAAAAACUUCGUAAAUGAAAGUUGUAGAGUUUGGCGAUAUGAGUUCGUAGACAUGCGGCACGCGUAAAACGAAAGUCAUAUGAAAAAGUUACGGUCAGAGGAAAUUAGUUUCCGAUUUUGGAAGGUAUAUAAAUAAAAAGUGGUGGGUUUUAUUUUUGGAAACCCUAGAAAAUGCAAAACCGGUUUCUCUCUCCUCUCUCCCGAGCUCACCGACGCCAGAUUUUUGCUAGACCGUAACUCGGCCAUCCGACCACCAAAUUGGACGCCGUUGGUCCCGUUAGAUUCGCACGGACCUCCUCUCCACUCCUGGAGCAGCAUGGCUCGCUGUCUCGCCGCUUAGACUGUCACGUCCCCAAACCGAGGCCAAUAUUAUAAGAAAAUAUGGUGACCGAAUUUGCGGCGUGAGUUAAAACAAAUAAAAUUUUCUUGAAUAAUUUAUUAGAAGAAGAAAUAUAUAUGUCUAAAUAAUACUUUUAUUAGAAAGCGAAAGCAUAAAUAUUUUACAAUACCAAAUAUUUUACAAUACGAGAGUUUUAGCAAAAAUAUAUAAGACAUUACAUUUAUUCUCAAAAUAGCAAUAGAAAACAUUCUUUUAUUUAGUAGGUUCAUCCUAUUCCCCAAGCAUCUAUUCGUUACCUAAAAACAAGAAUGUGUAGCAUCAUGAGUAACACAGACUCAAUAAGUACAACAUACAUUCUUAUAAUAAUGUGUCUUAUAAGAAACCAGAAAUAAACACAACUAAGUAAAAAUGUGCCAAGAAUCAUUUUUAUUUGUUCAUACCGUUUCUUAUUUAUGCACACACACAUAUACAAGCGUGAAUAAAUUCAUCCAUGUGAAUAUUUAGGAAACUGGUAAUAAAUCAUAAAGAUCACAUGCUAGGUCCACUAUACCAAAGCACCGAUAACCCGUAGCAUACCAAGGACAAUACCAGAGUAUGUAUACUCAAGGUCGACACUUUUUUCCUAUGAGUAUAAUAGUGCACUAUCUGUAGGGACUAGGGCCCAGGCUAACUCCACAAAUCACAAAACACUUUUACCAGUAAUUCACUUAAGCACGUGGUAGUACUAAUCACCCGGCUUCACAUCUCCAAAUAUAAUUACGUCAAUAAAAUAUAGCAAACUUUAGUAAGUAAGACAAUUACUUCAAGACCAAUAAAGUAUAUAUAUAAGCGUAUAUCAAUAUACUUAAAAAUUUGUCAAUAACUUAAGGUAUGCACAAGAUAAGCAAUUUAAUAAACUUGAAAGUAAAUGUGCAAUAAAGUAAACGUACUUUUAAUUAAAUAAACAGAAAAUAUUAGUCAGUAGUCAAAGAAUUAGUAGUCACAUUUCCC